rnacentral:lncRNA from 1 species
GCGUUUAUGAGCUGUGACACUCGCCGUGAAGGUCUGCAGCUUCACUCCUGAACCAGCGAGAGGAGGAACCCACCAGAAGGAGGAAAACGCGGAACACAUCUGAAUAUCAGAAGGAACAAACUCCAGACACGCCGCCUUUAAGAACUGUAACAGUCACCGCGAGGGUCCGUGGUUUCAUUCUUGAAGUAAGUGAGACCAAGAACCUGCCAAUUUCAGACACAAUGGAGAGCGCCAGUCCUGCUGCGGGGCCAUACAUCUAUUUAAUUUCCUCUCAUCUUCCCCCCGGUUCCGAGAGGAAGGUGCUUUCACCUGCACUGUUCCCAUGAGGAAACGAGGCUUCAGGAAUCUGAUAAAGCUUCCAAACUCCCGUGGCUGGCAGGAACCAAGGUUUCGAUGGCCGGACUUCUCAGCCCCCCAGGUGGAAAAGCAGGAGGCAUGACAGAUGAGGGUGAGAGUGCAUGCCAGGUCAGGCUGAGAAGGCGACAAUGCCAUAUGGUUUUUUCCACUUAGCUUAGCUCCAGGAUGACUUUGAACAGUGUUACAGCCCCAUGGGCAGAAAAUUGCACUUGCCUCAAGCUUCAUUAAAGCAAAUCGAGUCAGAAGGGAUUGAAACACCUGGAAGAAAUGCAAUGGAUUCAAACAGGGAAAAGGUGUGGGUCCGUCCCUUUUCCUGGUAAAUCCAGCAGCCUAGGAGAUGUCAGAAAAACAUUCCAAGGUUCCUGGACUUUUAAAGAGGCUAAGGAUGGGGCCUGCCAGGUACAGGAUGGCCCAUGCAGGUGGAGAUGCAGCCACAGGAUACCUGGGAUUCAUUGCAGCCUCGUCACUUACCAGUGUUGGCACUGUAUCGGUUAUCCCGAAUUUAACAGCCUAAAGCCACAUUCGUCAUCUUAUACUCUGUGGGGGUAGGGAAUCCAGGAGUGGAUUCACCAGGAGGUUCUGGCUGGGUGUCUCCCCGGAGCCGCAGGCGAGUGUGGGCCGUGGCAGCCAUCCCUGUUUCCAAGUGCACCAUGUGGCAGUUGGCUUGAGGCUCCAGGUCCUUGAGGUGCAGGCUUCCCCACGGGGCUGCUCGCGGCAUGGCUUCCUCACCCAGAGUGAUGGAUCCGAGAGAGAGCAGCCAAACUGAAAGCCACAGCCUUUUGUAAGCAAACCUCAGAAGUGACAUCUCGUCACAUCUGCCAUAUUCUACUGGUCGCACAGACCUAUCCUGCUACAUGGAAGGAGCAGCAGGAAGGUGGUGGGGAUUGCUGGGACCAUCUUGGAGGCUGCCACAGACAUCCAAGCCCCUCCAGGCAGGACAAACCAGGAUGAGAGGACAGUGUCGGGUGUAGCUGCCACCACCCAGUGUCGUCCAAGGAAAAUGGAGCAACCACAUCCUGCAUGGCAACACCAGGUGGCCAAGCCAGAUCGUGUGACCACUCGACGCUUCCCACCCACAGCAAAGAGGUGAGGCCUGGUGCCCAGCAGAGAGCAGCCCAGCCUACGGGGGACAGGAGCAGGACAGGAGCUCCCAGUGCCUCAGACUGCAGAGUCUACCCCACGUGGAUGGAAGACAGUGAGGCUGGCCAGCUGCACGUGGAGGAUGUGACGUCUCUUCUC